rnacentral:tRNA from 1 species
UUAAUUGAAGCCAAAAAGAGGCCUUUCAUUGUUAAUGAAAAAAAUGACUAAUAAUCCAAUUAAA